AUUCCCCACCCCAAUUUUUUCACUACAUCCGUCAAAAUUAAAAUAAUAUAUAUCAAAAAUUAAAUAAGUAUAUAAAGAAAAUUUUCCAUUUCUGAUAAAGAUUACCCAUUCAACCACGACAGCCAGUACUCUCCGAAGACGAACACCACCAGUAGGCUCUGUCCAAACACUACACACCACCAGUAGCUCCGACCACACACCACCAGUACCUCCGACCGCAUACCACCAGUACACUCCGACUGCACACCACAACUGCGGGAAUCAUCCUCCAAGAAGUUGUAAAGAGGCACCACUGCUCCGACCACCGCUUAAAUAUCCGAGCAAAUUUGGGGCUUUCAUCUAAUUUGUUGAUUUUAAGAAUUUUUGCACUCUAAUUCAAAGAAAGCAAAUGAAUUAUUGAAGGCAAUCGUGGCCUCAUCGGGUUUCUGGGAGAAUAGAUGAGGUGAUAUAUCUCCUACGUCAUACUCGAUAGGAUACUCAAGAUUGUUUAACACAUACUAUUUACUUGAAGUACUCCUCUACUUGCGUAUCUAAACAUAACGAAACUUGCAUCCUUGAAAGGUUUACUGUUUGUAUGCUGGAAAGGUUAACUUUUGAUAUGGUUUGUCUUAGUUUGCAAACGUUCUUUCAUUACAUUAAUAUGGUAGCAUUGAUGUUUAUCAGAAAAAAAAUUCCUAAUAGUAAUUUAACUCAGAAUCUAGAUAAUGAUAAUUAUGUUGAAAAUGAUAGGGGCAGAAGUAAGUGGAUGCAUAAAAAUAAAAUAUCUGUUAUGGGCUAGUUUGAACAGCGAUGUUUAUUUGAUUUUGGACGUUUUCCAACAUUAUAGUUUUUUUUUCAUCUUUUUUCUUUGAACUAUUUAUUCAGAAGAUUGUGCAUUCAUUGUUAAUAUAUGUAAAUAGGUGCUUCAUUGUUUCAAUGGAUGUAUCAGUGCUACUUGUAUCUCAAUAGACACCAAUUCUUACAAGUUCAUUGAUUACAUCCUAUUGAAUAGUUUCUCAUUUAUAGCGAGUUCUGUUAAAUAAAUGAGGUGUUCAUUUCAAGGUGUAUGAGUUAGAAUGCAAAACAUCUUAUCUUAAAUAUAGGUCCGAUGAUGAACAUAUGAGAACCUCAAGUAUCCAUUAGCUUCAAAGCUAUUGCAAUUGAAUCUAAUCAAGUCCUAGUUAUGGAACUUUGUGGUUAAUUCAUCUCUUAGCCAGUCUUCAUAUUUUACCUGCUGAAAUGGUAGUUUUACCACACUUGACGCCAAAAUACUUUUUUGCUCUAUUAUAAUUGAUCAAAGAUAGACAAUGUAAGUUGGGAAUUUUAUGUGUAGUGUCAAUACAAGUACUUGACUAAAUUCAUAUACAAGAACUGGGACAAUGUCUACUUCUACCACCUGCACUAGAAAAGUGAACAUAAACAGAACCCAAAUUUGGACUGUAUUUAUUAAUUACGCACUUUCACAUACUGACAUUUGCCAAGGGCUUUUUCCUGCUGUACUCAAGAAUUCACUUUUCCAUAGUUGUCUAGUCACUUUGGGAUCUUUUUAAAAAGGGAAUACAUAGAGAAGAGAACAAGCAUAAUGGUAGUUUCUCUUUUCGUUGAUACAAAUACAAAGAUUAUAUUGUGAAGGCUAACAAUUCAUUAAAAUUAGAAAAUGAAUUAUUUAUUUCAUCAUAAUAACAAUAAUAACAUACUCGAUAUAAGUAUUGAAUAUGUAGAAUAUAUGCAAACCAAAAGAAGUUUUUUUGAUAACACUUUGCCUUAAGUAAAACAUCUUAAAACAGUUAUACCACGGUUAAAUAAAGGGUUAUGUUAUAACGAACUAGUAAAUGGAGGAAACUAGAAAACCAUUAUCCAAGAUCGAUAACUAGAGAACUUAGGAAUGGAGGAAACUAACGAUGUGAUAAAAAUACACAAACAAGUUGAUAAAACUUGUGAAUCAAAUUUCAAUGUUAGGAGAGAUUUUCUAGAAUAUAGGAUUGCACCAUAGAUUAGCUAAAUCAAACCGAUAUGGAAGGAUACAAACCACAUUUGGGAUGGUUUGACAAAAACUCAUUGACGAAAACUGUCUUUUAUAAAAUAACAAACCGAACCUUACAAUGGAUGCCUGAUCUCAGUAAUCAUUUCCUUUUGCAGCUAUUCUUUGUUCAGAAUGUUUGACGAUUUGAUACUUCUAGUGAAGGGUAGCCUUACAGUAUACCAUGGACCAGUAAAGACCGUUUAAGAGUACUUUGCAGGCAUUGGAAUAACUUUACCUGAUCGCAUUAAUCCUUCUGAUCAUUUCAUUGUUAUUUAGAAGGAAUUUAUAAACUCCCGAGCACUGGACUGAGCUAUAAAGAUCUUCCUGUUAGAUGGAUGCUUCAUAACGGAUGCCCCAUACCACUAGAUAUGCUAGAGAUUCUUCUGGAUCAAGAGCAUCUUCGAUUGGAGAAAAUUCAGCUGAUGGAGCAAGUCCAAUAGCUGCUACCUCUAAUCAAUCUGGAGACCUGUGGUCGGAGAUCAAAUCCAAUGUUGCAUAGAAGAAGGACCGAAUGCGAUUCAACUUUUUGGCAUGAUCGGACUCAUCCCAUCGGAAAAUCCUGGUGUAUUGCUUCAAUAUAAGUAUUUCCUUGGAAGAGUCGGGAAGCAGUGAUUGCGAGAAGCCAGGAUACAAGCAGUUGAUUUUCUUAUUCUAUUACGUGCUGGACUCUGUUUGGGAACACUUGUUGAAGCAAGUGAUGAAACAUUUGGAUUUAUCGGGUACCUUUACACCGUCAUUGCAGUUCAUUUUCACCAAGAUUGCGACUUUGAGGUGAUUUUCUCUAGAUAAAUUACACUACUGGAGAGGGAGUGCAUCUGGUAUGAGCAAUUUGGCAUACUUUCUGGCUAAGGAUACAGUUGAUCAUAUCAAUACUAUUGUAAAGCCUGCAGUUUAUCUCUCAGUGUUCUACUUCUUCAACAAUCCAAGAUCUUCAAUUUUGGAUAAUUCUGUCGUCUUGCUUUGUGUCGUAUAUUGUGUUACUGGGAUAGCAUAUGCACUUGCCAUCUACUUUGAACUUGGUCAAGCUCAACUGGUGUGUACUCGGUACUUUGUUUUGUGAUGUGUAUAUAUUGUGUUAUAAUUUGUUAUGUAUGUAAAUAAAAGUUUAUGUUAAUACGAGUGGAUAUAUAUAUAAAUUGUUUUAAUUUAAUAACA